CGCGCUCUGCGAUCUGGAUCUGUUGGAGAGCUUCGCAAAGGUGUCCCACCUAGGGCGCUGGGCUCCUUCUCUGCAGGGGUGAAAGCCAGAGAACUCGUGGGCUCUGAUCCACAGCUGCCUUCUAGGUAGCUUCGCAGUGCAGCUGUUGAUGGUGCCUAGUUCUAUGGCAAUUCGGUGCCCACAGAGGGCAUGGUAUCUGGAACCUAAGGUGACGAAGGACCCCUGUACGGAAACCGGAGUGCAGCCUGGCACCAGGCUGACGAUAUUCUAAAGAGAUUCCGCUUCCCUCCCAUCGGCUGUCAGCACUUUGAAACAAGGUCCGCCAAGGAAUUGGAAUUUCCCCAGGCAUCUCCUGGUACCAGCAAGAAGAGGAACUUGACUCCAGGGAAGAGAUUUUCCACUUGUCAGACCCCCUGGAGGACAGACAUGAGCUGAGAUAAAGAGUUCACAGAACAUUCCUUUACAACCCUGGACUUAGUUUCCAGGAGAGUCAGAGGAAACAGGCAGGAGUUGGCCUUUCUCUCUCAGGAUGAGGACAGAGUUGAAGGUGAGGCAGACACUUUGCUGACCACUGGACCGAGGGAGAGAGAGAAGUUCCUCAGGACACUGUGGAAUGCCGAGGAUGAGGGUCCCUUCAGCUGGUGCAGUUCUGAGCCCGCGUGGGGACAGGCUGGUGCUGGGCAGGGCCAGAAGGGCAGCAGGAGCAGGGCUGAGGGAGUUGCCUCCCCCACAGUCCCCGUGAGAUCCGAGUUUCUGUCAGAGACUUUGUGUUCACUGCACUCUGCUCUCCUGCUGCUGUGAGGAAAGAGACCCCGGAGCCCAGCCCUGUCAGCCCCCCUCACCCUAGCUAACCCUCUGAGGCGUUCCUUCAGUUAUCUUUGGCCGUGGGUGUCCCUAGUCUCUUUCUCCCCAGCCUGGUAUUAAAUGAGUCACUAAGAAUGUUGGUCCAUCCUCUUCCUCAGCCUGUGAAGCUCACACUUGUCUGCAGCCAGAGAGAACAGCUUUGAAAAGAGGCUGUGUGAUCAUCAUGUAGGCUGCCCAUCAUCACGUAGACUACACAUUAUCACAUAGGCUGCCCAUCAUCACAUAGACUACACAUCAUCACAUAGGCUGCCCAUCAUCACGUAGGCUGCACUCACGGGGCAGAGACCAGCAUUUGAUGGAUGGGUUGGUACUCCUUUAUGUGGCACAUUGCUUUAUGUCACAAUAACAUAUUGCUUUUUAUUAAUAAAUGGCCCUGCUAAUUCUG